CACAUGCAAGGCGAACGUGGUUUUCCAUCCUCCUUUCUUCCCUCGCCACUACUCCUCUGAUCUGGGAUCCAAGGGAUCGAGGACUUCUAAACCUGGCCACUUCUGGAAGUGGACGGGGCUGAACAUUCGUGCGGACCACCUUU
rnacentral:rRNA from 1 species